AUUGAACGCUGGCGGCAGGCCUAACACAUGCAAGUCGAGCGGAUGAAGGGAGCUUGCUCCUGGAUUCAGCGGCGGACGGGUGAGUAAUGCCUAGGAAUCUGCCUGGUAGUGGGGGAUAACGUCCGGAAACGGGCGCUAAUACCGCAUACGUCGUGCGGGAGCAAGUUGGUGAUCUUCGGACCUCACGCUAUCAGAUGAGCCUAGGUCGGAUUAGCUAGUUGGUGGGGUAAAGGCCUACCAAGGCGACGAUCCGUAACUGGUCUGAGAGGAUGAUCAGUCACACUGGAACUGAGACACGGUCCAGACUCCUACGGGAGGCAGCAGUGGGGAAUAUUGGACAAUGGGCGAAAGCCUGAUCCAGCCAUGCCGCGUGUGUGAAGAAGGUCUUCGGAUUGUAAAGCACUUUUAGUUGGGAGGAAGGGCAGUAAGUUAAUACCUUGCUGUUUUGACGUUACCAACAGAAUAAGCACCGGCUAACUUCGUG
rnacentral:rRNA from 1 species